GGCCUGGUCCCACACUUUGCUCAAUGCCGAAUGACCGAAACGAUAUGUGAAGAACAAGAAGAUGACAGUACCCAGAAGAGUGGCUAAGGGGUGCCCCGCCUUCCACAGCGCUAAGUUUGACACUGUCCAGAUGGAGCGUCCACAGUUCCGUGGUGCUGUCACUUCCUAUCCAACUAGAGAGGUGCAGCAUGGAAUUGAAAAUCAGAAAGUCUUCAGAAAUACCUGGUGCUGUGAUAGAGCAGUUGAAAAGCUUCAUCGGUUUCAAUAUUUGGGGAAGUGUCUCAGAAAUUGAGUGCAUGUUUUUCCAUCUCUGAAGACUUGUUUGCCUCUUAUAUCGUGAAGGUACCUGGUAAUGAACUCAUAGUUAAGAGCUAAUUUGAAAUGGAAUUUUAUAGAGCCAAUUUUUUGGUGGUUUAAAGUUAAUUGCUUUGUACCUAAUUUAGGUUCCACAGGGAGCAAUUCUGAUCUCCCCCAACAAAUUUUAUCUCAAAUGAGGCUGAUCUAUGAUCCUAUUACGUGUGUCUGGGUGUCUAUCAAUAAACACCAUGGGAUACACUAAGUUUCUAAUGGA
rnacentral:lncRNA from 1 species